rnacentral:rRNA from 1 species
GAGCUCGCGGCCUAUCAGCUAGUUGGCGAGGUAACGGCUCACCAAGGCGAUGACGGGUAGCUGGUCUGAGAGGAUGGCCAGCCACAUUGGGACUGAGAGACGGCCCAGACUCCUACGGGAGGCAGCAGUGGGGAAUCUUGCGCAAUGGCCGAAAGGCUGACGCAGCGACGCCGCGUGGAGGAUGACGCCCUUCGGGGUGUAAACUCCUGUUGCCCGGGACGAAUGCCUGUUUCGACAGGAGUGACGGUACCGGGUGAGGAAGCACCGGCUAACUCUGUGCCAGCAGCCGCGGUAAUACAGAGGGUGCGAGCGUUGUCCGGAAUCACUGGGCGUAAAGGGCGCGUAGGCGGUCGGGUAAGCGUGUGGUGAAAGUCCGGGGCUCAACCCCGGAUCGGCCAUGCGAACUGUCCGACUGGAGCACGGUAGAGGCACAUGGAAUUCCGGGUGUAGCGGUGGAAUGCGUAGAGAUCCGGAAGAACCC